rnacentral:rRNA from 1 species
GGUCAAGUGAAGAAGCGCAUACGGUGGAUGCCUUGGCAGUCAGAGGCGAUGAAAGACGUGGUAGCCUGCGAAAAGCUUCGGGGAGUCGGCAAACAGACUUUGAUCCGGAGAUCUCUGAAUGGGGGAACCCACCUAGGAUAACCUAGGUAUCUUGUACUGAAUCCAUAGGUGCAAGAGGCGAACCAGGGGAACUGAAACAUCUAAGUACCCUGAGGAAAAGAAAUCAACCGAGAUUCCCUUAGUAGUGGCGAGCGAACGGGGAUUAGCCCUUAAGCUUCAUUGAUUUUAGCGGAACGCUCUGGAAAGUGCGGCCAUAGUGGGUGAUAGCCCCGUACGCGAAAGGAUCUUUGAAGUGAAAUCGAGUAGGACGGAGCACGAGAAACUUUGUCUGAACAUGGGGGGACCAUCCUCCAAGGCUAAAUACUACUGACUGACCGAUAGUGAACCAGUACCGUGAGGGAAAGGCGAAAAGAACCCCGGAGAGGGGAGUGAAAUAGAACCUGAAACCGUAUGCGUACAAGCAGUGGGAGCCUACUUGUUAGGUGACUGCGUACCUUUUGUAUAAUGGGUCAGCGACUUAUAUUCAGUGGCAAGCUUAACCGUAUAGGGUAGGCGUAGCGAAAGCGAGUCUUAAUAGGGCGUUUAGUCGCUGGGUAUAGACCCGAAACCGGGCGAUCUAUCCAUGAGCAGGUUGAAGGUUAGGUAACACUGACUGGAGGACCGAACCCACUCCCGUUGAAAAGGUAGGGGAUGACUUGUGGAUCGGAGUGAAAGGCUAAUCAAGCUCGGAGAUAGCUGGUUCUCCUCGAAAGCUAUUUAGGUAGCGCCUCAUGUAUCACUCUGGGGGGUAGAGCACUGUUUCGGCUAGGGGGUCAUCCCGACUUACCAAACCGAUGCAAACUCCGAAUACCCAGAAGUGCCGAGCAUGGGAGACACACGGCGGGUGCUAACGUCCGUCGUGAAAAGGGAAACAACCCAGACCGCCAGCUAAGGUCCCAAAGUUGUGGUUAAGUGGUAAACGAUGUGGGAAGGCUUAGACAGCUAGGAGGUUGGCUUAGAAGCAGCCAUCCUUUAAAGAAAGCGUAAUAGCUCACUAGUCGAGUCGGCCUGCGCGGAAGAUGUAACGGGGCUCAAACCACACACCGAAGCUGCGGGUGUCACGUAAGUGACGCGGUAGAGGAGCGUUCUGUAAGCCUGUGAAGGUGAGUUGAGAAGCUUGCUGGAGGUAUCAGAAGUGCGAAUGCUGACAUGAGUAACGACAAUGGGUGUGAAAAACACCCACGCCGAAAGACCAAGGGUUCCUGCGCAACGUUAAUCGACGCAGGGUUAGUCGGUUCCUAAGGCGAGGCUGAAAAGCGUAGUCGAUGGGAAACAGGUUAAUAUUCCUGUACUUCUGGUUACUGCGAUGGAGGGACGGAGAAGGCUAGGCCAGCUUGGCGUUGGUUGUCCAAGUUUAAGGUGGUAGGCUGAAAUCUUAGGUAAAUCCGGGGUUUCAAGGCCGAGAGCUGAUGACGAGUCGUCUUUUAGAUGACGAAGUGGUUGAUGCCAUGCUUCCAAGAAAAGCUUCNNNNNNNNNNNNNNNNNNNNNNNNNNNNNNNNNNNNNNNNNNNNNNNNNNNNNNNNNNNNNNNNNNNNNNNNNNNNNNNNNNNNNNNNNNNNNNNNUUCUAAGCUUCAGGUAACCAGGAACCGUACCCCAAACCGACACAGGUGGUCGGGUAGAGAAUACCAAGGCGCUUGAGAGAACUCGGGUGAAGGAACUAGGCAAAAUGGCACCGUAACUUCGGGAGAAGGUGCGCCGGCUAGGGUGAAGGAUUUACUCCGUAAGCUCUGGCUGGUCGAAGAUACCAGGCCGCUGCGACUGUUUAUUAAAAACACAGCACUCUGCAAACACGAAAGUGGACGUAUAGGGUGUGACGCCUGCCCGGUGCCGGAAGGUUAAUUGAUGGGGUUAGCGCAAGCGAAGCUCUUGAUCGAAGCCCCGGUAAACGGCGGCCGUAACUAUAACGGUCCUAAGGUAGCGAAAUUCCUUGUCGGGUAAGUUCCGACCUGCACGAAUGGCGUAACGAUGGCGGCGCUGUCUCCACCCGAGACUCAGUGAAAUUGAAAUCGCUGUGAAGAUGCAGUGUAUCCGCGGCUAGACGGAAAGACCCCGUGAACCUUUACUGUAGCUUUGCACUGGACUUUGAGCCUGCUUGUGUAGGAUAGGUGGGAGGCUUUGAAGCGUGGACGCCAGUUCGCGUGGAGCCAUCCUUGAAAUACCACCCUGGCAUGCUUGAGGUUCUAACUCUGGUCCGUAAUCCGGAUCGAGGACAGUGUAUGGUGGGCAGUUUGACUGGGGCGGUCUCCUCCUAAAGAGUAACGGAGGAGUACGAAGGUGCGCUCAGACCGGUCGGAAAUCGGUCGCAGAGUAUAAAGGCAAAAGCGCGCUUGACUGCGAGACAGACACGUCGAGCAGGUACGAAAGUAGGUCUUAGUGAUCCGGUGGUUCUGUAUGGAAGGGCCAUCGCUCAACGGAUAAAAGGUACUCCGGGGAUAACAGGCUGAUACCGCCCAAGAGUUCAUAUCGACGGCGGUGUUUGGCACCUCGAUGUCGGCUCAUCACAUCCUGGGGCUGAAGCCGGUCCCAAGGGUAUGGCUGUUCGCCAUUUAAAGUGGUACGCGAGCUGGGUUUAGAACGUCGUGAGACAGUUCGGUCCCUAUCUGCCGUGGACGUUUGAGAUUUGAGAGGGGCUGCUCCUAGUACGAGAGGACCGGAGUGGACGAACCUCUGGUGUUCCGGUUGUCACGCCAGUGGCAUUGCCGGGUAGCUAUGUUCGGAAAAGAUAACCGCUGAAAGCAUCUAAGCGGGAAACUUGCCUCAAGAUGAGAUCUCACUGGGAACUUGAUUCCCCUGAAGGGCCGUCGAAGACUACGACGUUGAUAGGCUGGGUGUGUAAGCGUUGUGAGGCGUUGAGCUAACCAGUACUAAUUGCCCGUGAGGCUUGACCAU